rnacentral:rRNA from 1 species
GACGGAGCACGCCGCGUGAGUGAUGAAGGUUUUCGGAUCGUAAAGCUCUGUUGUUAGGGAAGAACAAGUGCAAGAGUAACUGCUUGCACCUUGACGGUACCUAACCAGAAAGCCACGGCUAACUACGUGCCAGCAGCCGCGGUAAUACGUAGGUGGCAAGCGUUGUCCGGAAUUAUUGGGCGUAAAGGGCUCGCAGGCGGUUUCUUAAGUCUGAUGUGAAAGCCCCCGGCUCAACCGGGGAGGGUCAUUGGAAACUGGGAAACUUGAGUGCAGAAGAGGAGAGUGGAAUUCCACGUGUAGCGGUGAAAUGCGUAGAGAUGUGGAGGAACACCAGUGGCGAAGGCGACUCUCUGGUCUGUAACUGACGCUGAGGAGCGAAAGCGUGGGGAGCGAACAGGAUUAGAUACCCUGGUAGUCCACGCCGUAAACGAUGAGUGCUAAGUGUUAGGGGGUUUCCGCCCCUUAGUGCUGCAGCUAACGCAUUAAGCACUCCGCCUGGGGAGUACGGUCGCAAGACUGAAACUCAAAGGAAUUGACGGGGGCCCGCACAAGCGGUGGAGCAUGUGGUUUAAUUCGAAGCAACGCGAAGAACCUUACCAGGUCUUGACAUCCUCUGACAACCCUAGAGAUAGGGCUUUCCCUUUCGGGGACAGAGUGACAGGUGGUGCAUGGUUGUCGUCAGCUCGUGUCGUGAGAUG